rnacentral:rRNA from 1 species
UACGUAGGGGGCAAGCGUUGUCCGGAAUUAUUGGGCGUAAAGGGCUCGUAGGCGGUCCAUCACGUCGGGAGUGAAAAGCUGGGGCUUAACCCCAGUCCUGCUUCCGAUACGGGUGGACUAGAGGUAGGCAGGGGAGAACGGAAUUCCUGGUGUAGCGGUGAAAUGCGCAGAUAUCAGGAAGAACACCCGUGGCGAAGGCGGCUCUCUGGGACGGUACUGACGCUGAGACGCGAAAGCGUGGGGAGCGAACAGG